GUGAAGGAGAGUUGUUGCAACAGACAUUGUCUCUCUCCGUUAGUGGUCUGCCUGUAGUGAUUCCCUCGUCUCCCUCUCGUACUUUUAAAGGACUUGGAGGGACUAACAUUGACGCGCCAAGUGAAUUCCAGUUUAUAAUAGAUGAAAGACUAAGGACUCAGAACGAAUACAUAACUUCCGAAAUUCCAAGGCAUUGAAAAGGAAUCUACUUCCGAAGAAAGGACGCGUCUCUAAGACGAAAGGAAAAAAUGGACUUCUACAGACUAUUAACGGUCGGACUUUUCGCCAUAUUCAUCCUGCUAAGCUCGGUAGCAGAAGCCACAAUUAGCCAGCUGGGGAGUAUAUACAUCAUCACUCCUCAACAAUACGAGACGGAUCCCUACGCUGCUAAAAGUAUGGACUCCUCCUU